GCGGAGAGGAACUGGCCCCGCGGGACAAGAAGGUGUCAGAGGUCCAGCCCCACCUUCCAGAAAGGAUCCACUCCCCUCUCCCCGAGACCAUCCAGAAACACGCCCGGGGAACACGCCACCAGAAGGAAGGACGUGAUGGGACUCAGGGCCUGUCCCUCCUCUUCCAGAGCCCCUUCCUCCUGGCCCUGACACACCUCCUUGACAGCAACCUGCGGACACGCACAGGUGACACCCACAGUCCUGUCUCUCCAGUGUGACCCUCCAGGCGGCACCUUCUAAUGACUAACACAAGCAACGUCUGGCAGACACUGGGGCUCGCUGGGUACCCUGCUCUGUGCUGGGCGUUUUCCUACACAUCGGGGUUGGGGUUCACCUUGACCAUCUGAAGAAACAGGAUCCAGGUCCAGUAGACUUCCCAAGAGCCCACCACUGUACACCACCGAGGCAGGAUUUGAACCCAGAUCCCAGGCCCUGAACCCUGAGCUCCUGACAGUUCCCUCAACGUUCAGUCCAUCACUGCUCAUGCCCUGCCAUGGGCAUUUGUGACCUGGACUCAGAUGACAAAAUCCCAGAGAAGGGAACGGGGGUCCGCUCUUAUGUUUAAACUAAAGAAAUGGAAGGCCAGACUCAGGGAGGGACUGGAAGUAGGAUGUGGGAGCCCUCCCCAGGGCCCCCCGGAGCAGAGGCAGCCCUUCUUCAGCACUGACUGCAGCUGACAUGAGGCCCAGUCAGAAAGGGAAAGGGGAUUCCAGGGUAAAGAAGAAAAUUCUAGAACCAGGAGCUGAGAGAGCCCUAGCAGUCUCCUCUCCAGUUCCCAGCAGAGGUUUGUGGUGGCGGCUGGCCACGCACUGGAGACCUGAGCCUCAUUCCAGAGCCAUUUGUCCUGCACCUGGCCUUCAGCCACUCGGUCCUGUGACCACCUGGACCAAGCCCCAGAAACCUGCAGCUCUGUUUCUUCAUCUGUGCAAUUCAAUUGGUUGUGGUGACUCCCGAGGCCAUCGUGGGGACCCUGAGGGACACAGGCAUGGAAAUACCUGUAGGAUGUAAGAUGUUGAGCCCACGUGGACGGCCCCUGGGAAGUGACCGUGUGGCAGCACUAGAGAGGGAGCAAGAGGAUGCAGAAGGAGCCGGACAGAGCCGAGAGUUGUGUGUGAAAGCGGUCACUGAGGCCUGGGGAUGGGGCCACGGCAGGAGCCUCCACCAGGUCUUGGAAGGACAGGCUCCUGUUUUCUCUGUAAUCCCCACACCUACCCACAGCUCGUCCAGUAUCACCAUGAGGGCAGUAUCACCAAACCCUGUGUGUGACAUCUCGGGGACCCACCAUGGGCCUCUCCACGGCCUCACCCUGAGCUCAGGCUACGCUGCAGUAGCACAGCAGGCAAGCGAAAGGGCACGACCUUGAGAGAGUCCCAGCCAGUGACCUCGUCUGCAACGGACGCCUGAGGGUCACCUACGUCCAGGGCCUUCUGAUGUACAGUCAUCCACUGCUCAACAGAGGUCCUGGCCUCUCUCUCCUGUCACCCGGCAACACCCCAGCACCGUGGAGGCUGGGCCUCGAGACAGGCUUCACAGAUGAGGCCGCAGAACCCCAGCUCCCGGUUGGGACUGGACAUUUCCAUCAGGACUCGGGUUCGCUGCACCGCUCACUUGCAUCUUGGUCUUAUUUUGUUCUUCUUUGCCUAACACUUUUUAAAGCGGAUCUUAGUGGCCUCGCAGCAGCUCCUCGGGGAUAGACAGGGCACCCCCUUCCUGAAAGCUGACUCAGGGAAACAGGAGGCGUCAAAUAGCUUUCUAAUGAGCCUGUUCAGGGGACGAACGCCCAACCGCCAGGCCAGUGCCCGUCCACCCAGAUGAUGCCGCCUGCGGGGAGGGGAAGCCCGGAGGGACUGUCAAGCCUUCCCCAGGACAGUUAUAAAUAGUGUGGUGACAGGCAGAGGAAGGCACAGCUAAAAAGUUAGCUGUCCCCCUGCGGGUCACAAACGUUGGACUCAUUGGCUGACUGUCCACAAAGAUUAUAAAUAAGUUGGUCACCAUCCUGGGGGGUGAGAGCCUGUUUUCACACUGCCAGAAGUCGUUGGCCCUCCUCGGGGACAACACACUCAGUGUGACCUGUGACAAUCAAAUGUGGCCCUGGAGUCCCUUGGCAGCUGGCUCUCAGGCGACUGCCUGUGGUCAAAGCCUUCACAGUCUUCUGCCUUCUGGAAGUCUCCAGGUCAUCCCCAGGGAGGGUCUGGGAAAGGAACCUGUCCUAUUCCCACUCCCCAGCAUGCCUGGACCCUGGACCCCGUGCCCCAAGGGGUCCUCUCAAACACCCGAGAACCUGCUCUGACAGCCACCUGCCCACCCCCAAGGGCACCUGGGCCUCGCAGGAACAGUCAUUCACCCCCAGCACCUGCUUCUGCACCGCCUUUUUGGAGACAGGACAGGGCAGGGCAGGGCAGGGCAGGGCAGAGCCCGGGACUGAGACGCUACUGGGGCUGGGGAAGCGGCUCAAUGGGAAAGUGUCUGUGUAGCCUGCAGAAGGCCCCGGGUCGAUCCCCAGCACCAAAAAGUAAAAAGAACGGGGUACCAUUGACCAUGGCAACUGGAGGCUAGGGGUGGACUCCCUGACCUCCGGGCAUUCAGCAAAAAGACAGGCAGCAAGACGGCCCUGGCCUAAGGGGCACCACUCUCUCUGAAGAGUGAAUGGCCAGGAGUUGACGGCUCUGGGCAUGAGGAGGGUGGCCGCCAAGGUCAGAGGUGAGAAAGCAGCUCCUCAUGGGAGGAGACAGGGCGCCAGCCAGCGCCUUCCCGCGGACGCCUCUGAGUGCAGCUGAGUUACCUGGGCAACGGACCCAGCAAAGGUGCAGGGAGGAGCCAGAGGCAGGAGGAGGGGCGGGACGCUGGUGGCCUAGGCAGGAGGGGCAGGGGGUGGCAGAGGACGGCUCUGCCUGAGACGGGAAACUCAGAUGCAUCUUGAAGUCGAGGGUGGGGAAGUGUUUGAGGUGGUACAGGAUUAGUGAGAAGUGCUCCCUGCUGCGCCAGAGUGUCCCAGCCUCCCACGAGACCACCCCACAGCCCUGGCGACCKGCUCCCUGGAGA